UGAAACAUCUAAGUACCCCGAGGAAAAGAAAUCAACCGAGAUUUCGUUAGUAGCGGCGAGCGAACGCGAAGGAGCCUGUUAGUGAUAAUGACAGAGACAGAGGAACAAGCUGGGAAGCUUGGCGAUACAGGGUGAUAGCCCCGUACUCGAAGUCCAGGUCAUGGUACUAAGCUAACGACAAGUAGGGCGGGACACGUGAUAUCCUGUUUGAAGAUGGGGGGACCAUCCUCCAAGGCUAAAUACUCCUGAUUGACCGAUAGUGAACCAGUACUGUGAAGGAAAGGCGAAAAGAACCCCGGUGAGGGGAGUGAAAUAGAACCUGAAACCUUGUACGUACAAGCAGUGGGAGCCCUUUAAGGGUGACUGCGUACCUUUUGUAUAAUGGGUCAGCGACUUAUAUUUUGUAGCGAGGUUAACCGAAUAGGGGAGCCGAAGGGAAACCGAGUCUUAACUGGGCGUCUAGUUGCAAGGUAUAGACCCGAAACCCGGUGAUCUAGCCAUGGGCAGGUUGAAGGUUGGGUAACACUAACUGGAGGACCGAACCGACUAAUGUUGAAAAAUUAGCGGAUGACUUGUGGCUGGGGGUGAAAGGCCAAUCAAACCGGGAGAUAGCUGGUUCUCCCCGAAAUCUAUUUAGGUAGAGCCUUGAGCGGACACCUUCGGGGGUAGAGCACUGUUUCGGCUAGGGGUCCAUCCCGGAUUACCAACCCGAUGCAAACUACGAAUACCGAAGAGUGAUAUCAGGAGACACACGGCGGGUGCUAACGUCCGUCGUGGAGAGGGAAACAACCCAGACCGCCAGCUAAGGUCCCAAAGUCAUAGUUAAGUGGGAAACGAAGUGGGAAGGCUUAGACAGCUAGGAUGUUGGCUUAGAAGCAGCCAUCAUUUAAAGAAAGCGUAAUAGCUCACUAGUCGAGUCGGCCUGCGCGGAAGAUGUAACGGGGCUCAAAUAUAGCACCGAAGCUGCGGCAUCAGUAGCAAUACUGUUGGGUAGGGGAGCGUUCUGUAAGCGGAUGAAGGUGAAUCGAGAGGUUUGCUGGACGUAUCAGAAGUGCGAAUGCUGACAUAAGUAACGAUAAAACGGGUGAAAAACCCGUUCGCCGGAAGACCAAGGGUUCCUGUCCAACGUUAAUCGGGGCAGGGUGAGUCGGCCCCUAAGGCGAGGCUGAAAAGCGUAGUCGAUGGGAAACGGGUUAAUAUUCCCGUACUUGGAUAAACUGCGAUGUGGGGACGGAGCAGGUUAGGUUAUCGCACUGUUGGAUAUGUGCGUUUAAGUUGGUAGGUGUGAAGUUUAGGCAAAUCCGGACUUCUAUAACACCGAGAGAUGAUGACGAGGCUCUACGGAGCUGAAGUAACCGAUACCACACUUCCAGGAAAAGCCACUAAGCUUCAGGUUUAUCUAAACCGUACUGAAAACCGACACAGGUGGUCAGGUAGAGAAUACUCAGGCGCUUGAGAGAACUCGGGUGAAGGAACUAGGCAAAAUAGCACCGUAACUUCGGGAGAAGGUGCGCCGGCGUAGAUUGUAGUCCCUUGCGGAUGAAGGUUGAACCGGUCGAAGAUACCAGCUGGCUGCAACUGUUUAUUAAAAACACAGCACUCUGCAAACACGAAAGUGGACGUAUAGGGUGUGAUGCCUGCCCGGUGCUGGAAGGUUAAUUGAUGGUGUAAUCGAAAGAGAAGCUCCUGAUCGAAGCCCCAGUAAACGGCGGCCGUAACUAUAACGGUCCUAAGGUAGCGAAAUUCCUUGUCGGGUAAGUUCCGACCUGCACGAAUGGCAUAAUGAUGGCCAGGCUGUCUCCACCCGAGACUCAGUGAAAUUGAAAUCGCCGUGAAGAUGCGGUGUACCCGCGGCUAGACGGAAAGACCCCGUGAACCUUUACUAUAGCUUGACACUGAACAUUGAAUUUUGAUGUGUAGGAUAGGUGGGAGACUUAGAAGCAGUCACGCCAGU
rnacentral:rRNA from 1 species